UGGGGGCUGGCUCAGUGGUAGAGUGCUUGCCUAGCAUGCACGAGGCCCCGGGUUCAAUUCCUCGGUUCCCCAU